GACGAACGCUGGCGGCGUGCUUAACACAUGCAAGUCGAACGGAAAGGCCCUACUUGCAGGGUACUCGAGUGGAGAACGGGUGAGUAACACGUGGGUGCUCUGCCCUGCACUUUGUGGUAAGCCUGGGCAACUGGGUCUAAUACCGGAUAGUAGCCAUCUUUAGGGUGAUGGUUGGAAAGUUUUUUCGGCUUAGGAUGAGCUCGCGGGCUAACGGCUUGUUGGUGGGGUAAUGGCUUACCAAGGCGGCGACGGGUAGCCACCCGGCGUGGGUGGACGGCGACAUUGGGACUGAGAAACGGCCGAGGCUUCUACGGUUGGGCAGCGGGCGGAAUACUGAACAAUGGGUGCAGGCCUGAUGCAGUGAGGCUGCGGGGCGGAAAACGGCCUUCGGGUUGUAAAAUCGUUUCAGUUUGGUCGAAGCUUUUUGUGACGGUACCUAGAGAAGAAGCACCGGCUAACUACGUG
rnacentral:rRNA from 1 species